GGGUUGCCUUGCUUUACCUGUAUAAAUCCAUUGCUUGAUAAGACUAUAUUAUACUCUCUGUCAAACCCAGAUACCCCCUCCCUCCCUACUUGAACCACCAUCACUCUAACCCCUUAUUCUCCCCACUUUUGGGGACACUCCGCCGACCGUGGAUUUCCUGGGUUUCGUGCGUAAGACUAACUGGGUUAAGGAGAAGGGGGUAUCCUGCGGUAAUGGAUACCACAGGGAGACCGUGUCUCCAAGAAAUGCUAGCAUGUCUUACAAAAGUGGGUCUUUUUAUUGAAAGAUGUCUAGUGUUCCCAUAUAUUUGCUACACUAUGCGUACAGAUAGGCAUGUUAUGAAUUUAUGUCUUAGACAUAAAUACAGGGCCUACGUAUUUCUAAUGCCCAUCAACUCUCCUUUGCACCGUAUCUACUUCGGGUAGUGAUGUGUACUUCCGCGUAAAAGAAAUCGCGUGCUACGAGGAGGAAAACUAGAAGGUUUAUCCCCUUUUUUAUUUAUUCAUUCAUCCAUCCAUCCAUUUAUUUAUUCAUCCAUCCAUUCAUUCAUUCAUACAUUCAUUCAUUUCUGCAGUGUUUGAGACAUACUUUGGGAUUUUAAAUACAUGUCAAGUAAACAAUUGACGGCUUGAAGCGUCGAUACACCACAGGCGGCCCAAAUGCCGCCAAAAGGGUCACGUGUUGUUGUUGUUGAGUGUGUGUGAAUGAGAAUGGCGAAGAGUCACCAAGGAAUGUGUGUCGCCAAGAAUGAAGGCUCAAGAGUCUUUUAAUAAUACAUGCGAACACGCGCAUCACGAAGAAUAAAAGCGGCGAAAGGUGCCGAGCUGGAUGGCACGUGAACGAGUUGUCGUACUAUUAGAAACUCUUGCGGACGUUGAUUUAGAGAACUCACACACCACUACAUCAUUAAAAGACUCUUGAAGACUGAGAAUUGGCUGCAGAGUGUAUUAUUUGGGUGAUAAUUUAGAUAAGAAGCAGCGAUUCGAAGAGAGUUUGCGCGAAAAUAAUUCGAGACAUCGGAGAAAUAGAGAAUUUGCCACGCUUCAAUAUGCAAAUUAGCGAAGCCAUUGACAGAGGCCGGCACAGGAAGCCCAGCGCCGAGAGAUUGGGAGAUUCUGCGAGUGAGGUAGGCUCAAAUGUUUCCAUCACUAGCUCUUUGUUAGCGAAGAAAGCGGCUGCGAAAAGGGCUGUUGCUCAAUUAAAACUAAUACAACUACAAAGGAGACAAGAAAUGGAAAUAAAGGAAAAUGAGAUGUAA